UUGUGUUGCUGCAAUAGCAAUCUUGCUAAGUACAAUAGGACAUGGAAAAGCUUGGCUCAGAAACUAAUGGACUGCAGCUACCAUCUGUGGGAUUGAAACUAAAYGCCUCUAAAAGAAAUACUCAUAAAUGUAACUAGCCAUCUUGUUGAUUAGCYUUCUGGUGGACUGGAUUCCAGUUGCCUAAUGGACUGCACGACCUCUCUCUCUGGAAGCCAGUAAGAGUGAUUUGUACAUGCACGCCUACUCACAGGUAUAGACAUCAUUCAACUAAACUUCACAGAGCUGAGGUUUGAAAUGGAGUUGGAUUGGCAGCAAAGCAUUCAUUGAAUGUUACUCAAGCCAGGAGAUGGAUAUGUUGUCCAGGACAGAACUCUUUGGAUGUGGGACAUGGCUGGGAGCCUGCCAUUUCCUGGUUAGCCUCA